GAUGAACGCUAGCGGCAGGCUUAAUACAUGCAAGUCGUGGGGCAGCAUGAAGUAGCAAUACUUUGAUGGCGACCGGCAAACGGGUGCGGAACACGUACACAACCUUCCUUUUAGUGGGGAAUAGCCCAGAGAAAUUUGGAUUAAUACCCCGUAACAUAGCGAUGUGGCAUCACAUUGCUAUUAUAGCUUCGGCGCUAGAUGAUGGGUGUGCGUAUGAUUAGAUAGUUGGCGAGGUAACGGCUUACCAAGUCUACGAUCAUUAGCUGAUGGGGGGGCAUGAUCAGCCAAACGGGCACUGGGACACGGGCCCGACUCCUACGUGGGGCAGCAGUAAGGAAUAUUGGUCAAUGGACGAAAGUCUGAACCAGCCAUGCCGCGUGAAGGAUUAAGGUCCUCUGGAUUGUAAACUUCUUUUAUAUGGGACGAAAAAAGGUCUUUCUAGAUCACUUGACGGUACCAUAUGAAUAAGCACCGGCUAACUCCGUGCCAGCCGCCGCCGUAACAC
rnacentral:rRNA from 1 species